rnacentral:tRNA from 1 species
GGAGGAGUGGUCGAGUGGUUUAAGGCACCGGUCUUGAAAAUCGGAAAUGCAGUUUGCAUUCUAGAGUUCGAAUCUCUACUCCUCCG